rnacentral:misc_RNA from 1 species
GAUGAAGAACGCAGCAAAAUGCGAUAAGUAAUGUGAAUUGCAGAAUUCAGUGAAUCAUCGAAUCUUUGAACGCACAUUGCGCCCGCUGGUAUUCCGGCGGGCAUGCCUGUUCGAGCGUCAUUUCAACCCUCAAGCCCCCGGGUUUGGUGUUGGGAUCGGCUCUGCCCUUCUGGGCGGUGCCGCCCCCGAAAUACAUUGGCGGUCUCGCUGCAGCCUCCAUUGCGUAGUAGCUAACACCUCGCAACUGGAACGCGGCGCGGCCAUGCCGUAAAACCCCAACUUCUGAAUGUUGACCUCGGAUCAGGUAGGAAUACCCGCUGAACUUAAGCAUAUCAAUAAGCGGAGGA